rnacentral:lncRNA from 1 species
AGGAGUAUUGGUACAUGGGCCCCAAAUGUAACCACCAUUGGAACACUCUAGAUUUGAUUUUAGUAACUAUUCUUCCUGCAGUAGCACUGGUUAUCAUAGUUGUUGUAAUAUUUUACUGCGUCUACUAUUGUAAAAAUGAAAAAGCUGGGUAAGUUACUCUGGAUGCAGUUAAAAAGUUUUUUAUAAUCAAAAUGGAAGGAAAGCAAAAGAAGUCUGGUAUUCUGAUUAUUUUUUAACCUCUGGAUAUUUAAAUCAACAAGCUUGCCAUAUAGCAUCCUCUGCCAAACUACUGUUUACGCAGUUUAAAACUAAAUCAAAGCAUCUUACCAGAGCACUUAACAGCUUUUUACUGCUGCGUGCAGAACGUCACUCUUAAGUCAUUGCUUGUCUUCUUUAGGGCUAACCAGGCAAGCUUUAAAGAUUGAUAAGUACAUUUACUACUUUAACUCUAGACUACCAAAUCUGUCUUGCUGAUUUGUUUGCUAUUAAGGGUUGGCUUGCUUUCCACAAGUUUAAAAAAAAAAAAAAAAAAAAGAAAAAGGUUUAAAAAAAAAAAAAACCAAAUUUUUUAUUUCCUUGGGAGAGGUAUCAUUAAAAAAAAAAAAAACCAAAAUGGCCAUUGACUUGGGACAGGGAUAAUUUAAAAAAAAAAAAAAAAAAAGGAAAUAAGACCGAUAAACUGACAAGAGUCUUGGCAAUUAAACACUAUGUCUCCCAUUCUUUGGUGCUAGGCAUUGGCAAUUUGAGCUGGUUUUUUGCUUUCAACACUUUAUCUUUUUUUUUUUUUUUUUCAAUGAUACCUGUCCCAAGUACAUAGACAAUAUGGUUUUUUUUCUUCUUUCAUUGAGGCCCAUUAGUGUGUAUCACUGGUACAUCCUCUGUCGUAGAAAAAUUGUAUGAUAUGGCUGUUGAACCAAUCUGCAGUACAAAAAGAUUUGUCAAAACUAUUGCUAAUGCUCUAAAUUCAUGUUGUUCCCCCAACCAGGAACCAGACAAAUCCUCCGUACCAUGAAACACAACAUAACCUCGCAUUUACUGCUGAAAUGGCUGGUAACUUGGGGCACAUUUAUCAGUAGUCGCCAAGGGGUGACUGGGUUGGACAAAUUCCAAAAGCUGUACUGAGAAGACAAGACUUUGAUGAUGUCCCAACCCCAUGUCAAUUAGAGAAUUACAGUCCCAAGCAUCCUCAGCCAUUAAGGAGACCAGAUACAGCAACAGACCAUUUUUCUAACCAGCGACCUCAAUAUGAGAAAUUUGGCUAUCCAAGCAAUAAUUUUGCCUUAUGCAGGUUAUGCAGAGGGGAGACAGUAUCAGGUAUGUAUUAAUAACAUACCUAGGUAUAUAUAUUCUAUAAUCAUUUGUCUUCGUACUGAGUACAAAUUAUGAUAAUUCAAAUUGGUAGUAUUUAUGUCACUAAGUAAAGACGUGAGCUAAUAAAAAGCCUAAAACCACGUUUUA